rnacentral:pre_miRNA from 1 species
UUCAAGUAAUCCAGGAUAGGCUGUGGUCUGGCAGUCAGCCUGUUCUAGGUUACUUGGCUC